rnacentral:rRNA from 1 species
UACGAAGGGGGCUAGCGGUGCUCGGAAUCACUGGGCGUAAAGCGCACGUAGGCGGCUUUCUAAGUCAGGGGUGAAAUCCUGGAGCUCAACUCCAGAACUGCCUUUGAUACUGGAGAGCUUGAGUCCGGAAGAGGUGAGUGGAACUCCGAGUGUAGAGGUGAAAUUCGUAGAUAUUCGGAAGAACACCAGUGGCGAAGGCGGCUCACUGGUCCGGUACUGACGCUGAGGUGCGAAAGCGUGGGGAGCAAACAGG